ensembl:lncRNA
CUUGGCUCUCCUGUUGUUUGUUGAACAGUGAGAGGGAGCAGGAGAGAGUUUGAAAUGGUAAUAAGAGAGUUGGAGCAAAGAACUGAAGAAGCUGGAAACAGGAUACUGGCACAAAGAUAAAUGUACUGUAGUUGGGAAGAGAAGUUGUUGGGGAAGAGUGUCAGGGUUUGAAGGCUGGAAAUAGUGAAGUGAUGAAAAUAUGAUUAUUGAAAUAGAAUUUCCUAUCUUGAGAUUAGCAUGUGAAAUGUCAGGGGUCAUUUUCCUGUCUGACCAGGUUUCUUGUCCUGUUGAUCAUGAGGAAGGGUGGACUCCCCAAUCUGAGUCAUUCUUACUGAACAGGCAUCAUCACUGUAAAAAUCAUAAUUUAACCGACGCCUGUGCCCGAAAGUAACAUUUAUGAUUAUUGAAGAUUAUUUUUAGACACAAUUAUGGGAAUACAUUUUCAAAUGUACUGUUUUACAAGAAAGGCAGAAAAUAGUAAAGCACUUUUUUUUUUUCAAAUGCACGAUAGACAGUCUAAUAAAUCUGUUAAGCAUUGUAUGUGCUUAAAUUUAUUAGACCACCUGCUAUAAUAACAGAAUACACAAAUAUUUUAGGAAUCUGUCAAAAACUUGUUUAAAACUAAAAUUUGUAUUGUAAUUUAUUAGGCAAAUAACAAACUGAAAUAGUCUUUAAUCACACAUAAUAACCCAAAAAACUUAAUAUUUUGUAUGGCCUCCUUUGGCCUUGAUAACAGCUUGCAUUGCUUUUUUGUACUUUUUCACAGUCUCCGUUGUUAUUGACUGUAAUUGGGCAUAUGAUUUCUAUUAUUAUUAUUAUUAUUAAUAAUAAUGAAGUGCAUUACUAUUUUUUUUUUACUUUCUUGUAUAACAGUAAAUUUUAACAUUCAUGAAUAACAACAAUUCUAUUUUAGCAUUAGAAACAAUACUGUGACUUAAGAACUUACACAUACUGGUGGAUUAAUCAUUAAAGAAACAUUAAAAAUUAUUUUGGUAAUUUCCAAUACUGUUAGUUUAGGGCAGCUGUGGCACAAACCUUACAUUGGGUGGUGGUAGUCUAAUGUUAUUGUUAUAUAUAUAUAUAUAUAUAUAUAUAUAGAGAGAGAGAGAGAGAGAGAGAGAGAGAGAGAGAGAGAGAGAGUAAAUACACAAUAAUAUAAUUGUAAAUAACACACAUUUAGUAAAUAAUACAUUUUACAUUAUACACAUACAUACACACAUAUUUUUAUCACUUCUGGUACCAUUAGUGCACUUCUAACCCUGAAC